CCUACGGGAGGCUGCAGUAGGGAAUCUUUCACAAUGGGCGAAAGCCUGAUGGAGCAACGCCGCGUGCAGGAUGAAGGCCUUCGGGUUGUAAACUGCUUUUAUAAGCGAGAAAUAUGAUGGUAACUUAUGAAUAAGGAUCGGCUAACUACGUGCCAGCAGCCGCGGUCAUACGUAGGAUCCGAGCAUUAUCCGGAGUGACUGGGUGUAAAGAGUUGCGUAGGUGGCAUGAUAAGUAGCUAGUGAAAGCUGGUGGCUCAACCAUUCAGACUAUUAGCUAAACUGUUAAGCUCGAGACCGGUAGGGGUAAGUGGAAUUUCUAGUGUAGGAGUGAAAUGCGUAGAUAUUAGGAGGAACACCAGUGGCGUAGGCAGGUUACUGGGACGGUUCUGACACUGAGGCACGAAAGCGUAGGGAGCAAACGGGAUUAGAUACCCGAGUAGUC
rnacentral:rRNA from 1 species